UGUAAGCGUAUACCAAAGUUGUUGCAGUUAAAACGCUCGUAGUCGGAAUUUGGCAGUUCCGGAUGUGUGCACGUCGUGUGCGCACUUCGCGGGGAUUGCUUUUGUGGUCUUGCGUAGGAUGAGGCACUUUUAUUAGUGAACGUCCUCACGCAACCACUUUUUACUGUGAGAAAAUCAGAGUGCUCAAAGCAGGCAUUUGCCGUGAAUGUAUUAGCAUGGAAUAAUAGAAUAGGACUUGGUUCUAUUUUGUUGGUUUGUUGGGACUGAGUAAUGAUUAAGAGGGACAGUUGGGGGCAUUUGUAUUUCGGUGCUAGAGGUGAAAUUCUUAGAUUACCGAAAGACAAACUGCUGCGUAAGCGUCUGCCAAGGAUGUUUUCAUUGA
rnacentral:rRNA from 1 species